UAUAAGGAGUUAGACGAUCCUUUAGGCAUCAGGAUGCCUAAAGGAUCGUCUAACUCCUUAUA
rnacentral:miRNA from 1 species